rnacentral:rRNA from 1 species
UCGAGAAUACUUCGCAAUGGACGAAAGUCUGACGAUGCGACGCCGCAUGAACGAUGAAGGCCUUCGGGUUGUAACGUUCUGUUGCCCUAGAACAAGAGUGACUGACGAAUAGGUGGUCACGAUGAGGGUAUAGGGAGAGGAAGCACCGGCUAAUUCCGUGCCAGCAGCUGCGGUAAUAAGGAAGGUGCAAGCGUUAGUCGGGAUUACUGGGCGUAAAGGGUGCGUAGGCGGGAAUGUAAGUCGGUUGUGAAAUUCCGAAGCUCAACUUCGGAGCUGCAAUCGAAA